rnacentral:rRNA from 1 species
AUGACGUGCAGUUUCGUCUUCCUCCUGAGGGUGUCGUCGUGGAGCCCAGAUUUCCUCCAGUGCAUCGAGUCUCCUCGACUCUGGCAUGGGUGGUUGCACUUGCCUCCGCAUCUUCUACACGGGUCCUCGUUGGCGCCACCCACGGUCCUCGCUAUUCGCUUGCAGGUUCGGGCUCCACAAUCCGGAGCGAGAGGGUAG